CUUGUGAAUCCGGCCCCUGUUCCAGACCUUCUCAGGGGUACAGACUUUCCCAUUUGAAAAUUGAGCAUACUUUAGUGUAUUACAAAUAUAAUUUAAGCAUACAGAAGUGAUUACAAGUAUACGUUUAAUUUCUGUGCUGAAUUAAAAGUAUGGUUAACAAGUAGGCCUUUUAAAAAGUGAACUUCACAAUAGAUGUCGUCAAGUUCAACUUUAAUGUAGGCCAGGGUGGCUUUAAAAUCACAUUGUUCACAUUGCCUUCUCCAGCUGCCUUCUCUGCUCCUUCUUCUCCUCAGCCUUUUCCUCUCCUGCCGGGACUUCUCCUCCUGUGCCUUUCUUCCCCUGCUGUCCCUUAUUUUCCUGCUGUUCCUUCUCUUCCUGCUGUUCCUUCUCCUCCUUCUGUGCCCUCUCUUCCGCCUGCUCCUGCAAGUUCUCCGCCAGUAAUUUCCUGACUGCCUCAGUGAACGGGAUAUCCUCGAUAUUUAUUCUGAUCAUCUCACUUGGAUUAGUCUCAGUCUUUGGAUCGAAGAUAGACAUUAGAACUUAAAAACGUUACACGGUUUCAAAGACCACAAAUUACGAUACCGCGAAGGCUGGACAAAAUGCAUUCAAUGCUUUUUAAAUUUGUAUUUGUAUGAUUUUUCUCGCAGCCAAUCACCGCCAGCUGAUGUUCUAUCUUGCGCAGUGUGAUUGGCCCAUAACCGCAUCAGCUACAACCCAUACAAUCUGUGGCGUCGAAGUCGAGCGCGGACUGUCGGCCGGAGCUGGCUGUUCAGGUUGCCGAGACGCCACGCGUGUCCUUUAAAGCAACUGAUUCCUUCCCUCACCUAAUGGGUAUCGAAUGUAGUAGAAAGAAUUAAGUAUAGAAUGAAGCACUCCAUUGGUAUCGGUACCCAGCCCUAAGGUACUGUGUAGUAGGCCUACAGACCUGCGCAGGGCUACAGUCAGACCCUCAGCGGUAAAGACCUUCUCAGGGGCACAUACUACUUCUCAGGGGUACAGACUUUCAGGGGUAGACCUUCAGGGGUACAGACCUGCUCAGGGCUACAGACUUUCUCAGUUAUCACCAGAUCAUGUCUGUAAUGGACUUUUACAAUUUUUUCCAAAGUAGUUGACAUUUAUUAUAUCUAGCACACAGUGAGAAACUCAAAAGAGUAAAUCAAUGCAAAUGAUACAUUCCUAAGCUCUGUUUGAAGGUUUAUCCAAAUACAUGCGCAAAAAAAAGAAAUCCGAACACCACAUAAGAAUUAUCCAAGAGCUAUUUCAACUACAGCCAAAUUGAGUAAGGGAGAAAUAUUGCACCAAAAAUAUUAAUUAGAUAUUGUAAAUGCGAAAUAAACAUUAAAUGUUAAAUAAACACUAUACAUUUGGUCCUUUAUAAAAACAUAUAAGCUAUUAAAUACACUAUGUCCACGAGGUUAGAGAAUAAAUAUAUAUACAUAUAUUUCUUUUUUUCAUUCAUACAUUCAAAUCGAUGGCAUGCAACCGUACAAGGUGACAGCCAACUCGUCGGAAGUAGUUAGGGUGAGGUGUCUUGCUCAGAGACAUCUCGACACUUUGCUUUCAGGGGUGUCUGGGCCUUUGGGGGGACUCCACUGGCCACCAGAGGGUCGGGUUUGCUGGUUUGCUUCCUUCUGGUCGCCAAUGAUGGACGAGUGUUACCAUAAAUGGGGCAGGUCAUCUCUUAAGGAAAACCAAGCAAAAAAGAUGCAGGCCUAUUAUGAUUAUUUGAAAC
ensembl:lncRNA